rnacentral:rRNA from 1 species
GCUUUACUGUAGCCUGGAAUUGGGUCCGGGCUUGGCUUGCGCAGGAUAGGUGGGAGGCAUUGAAGCAUUCCUUGUGGGGANGUGUGGAGCCAACAGUGAGAUACCACUCUGGCGAAGCUAGGAUUCUAACCCGUUUCCGUAAUNNNCCGGAAAGGAGACAAUUUCAGGUGGGCAGUUUGACUGGGGCGGUCGCCUCCUAAAAGGUAACGGAGGCGCACAAAGGUUCCCUCAGCACGGUUGGAAAUCGUGCUUUGAGUGUAAAGGCAAUAAGGGAGCUUGACUGCAAGAGCAACAACUCGNAGCAGGGUGGAAACACNGGUCUUAGUGAUCCGACGGCACANGAGUGGAAUGGCCGUCGCUCAACGGAUAAAAGUUA